AGUCGAACGAUGAUCUCCAGCUUGCUGGGGGGAUUAGUGGCGAACGGGUGAGUAACACGUGAGUAACCUGCCCUUAACUCUGGGAUAAGCCUGGGAAACUGGGUCUAAUACCGGAUAUGACUCCUCAUCGCAUGGUGGGGGGUGGAAAGCUUUUGUGGKUUUGGAUGGACUCKCGGCCUAUCAGCUUGUUGGKGAGGUAAUGGSUCACCAMGGCGACAACAGGGAGCCGGCCUGAGAGGGKGACCGGCCACACUGGGACUGAGACACGGCCCASACUCCUACRGGAGGCRGCAGUGGGGAAUAUUGCGCAAUGGGCGGAAGCCUGAUGCASCGACRCCSCGUGAGGGAUGACRGCCUUCKGGUUGUAAACCUCUUUCASUAGGGAAGAAACGAAAGUGACGGUACCUGCAGAAGAAGCGCCGGCUAACUACGUGCCAGCAGCCGCGGUAAUACGUAGGGCGCAAGCGUUAUCCGGAAUUAUUGGGCGUAAAGAGCUCGUAGGCGGUUUGUCGCGUCUGCCGUGAAAGUCCGGGGCUCAACUCCGGAUCUGCGGUGGGUACGGGCAGACUAGAGUGAUGUAGGGGAGACUGGAAUUCCUGGUGUAGCGGUGAAAUGCGCAGAUAUCAGGAGGAACACCGAUGGCGAAGGCAGGUCUCUGGGCAUUAACUGACGCUGAGGAGCGAAAGCAUGGGGAGCGAACAGGAUUAGAUACCCUGGUAGUCCAUGCCGUAAACGUUGGGCACUAGGUGUGGGGGACAUUCCACGUUUUCCGCGCCGUAGCUAACGCAUUAAGUGCCCCGCCUGGGGAGUACGGCCGCAAGGCUAAAACUCAAAGGAAUUGACGGGGGCCCGCACAAGCGGCGGAGCAUGCGGAUUAAUUCGAUGCAACGCGAAGAACCUUACCAAGGCUUGACAUGAACCGGUAAGACCUGGAAACAGGUCCCCCACUUGUGGUCGGUUUACAGGUGGUGCAUGGUUGUCGUCAGCUCGUGUCGUGAGAUGUUGGGUUAAGUCCCGCAACGAGCGCAACCCUCGUUCCAUGUUGCCAGCGCGUUAUGGCGGGGACUCAUGGGAGACUGCCGGGGUCAACUCGGAGGAAGGUGGGGACGACGUCAAAUCAUCAUGCCCCUUAUGUCUUGGGCUUCACGCAUGCUACAAUGGCCGGUACAAAGGGUUGCGAUACUGUGAGGUGGAGCUAAUCCCAAAAAGCCGGUCUCAGUUCGGAUUGGGGUCUGCAACUCGACCCCAUGAAGUCGGAGUCGCUAGUA
rnacentral:rRNA from 1 species